rnacentral:tRNA from 1 species
GGGGUUGUGGCUCAGUGGUAGAGCGUGUGCCCUGCACGUGUAAGGCACUGGGUUUGAUCCUCAGCACCACA